AAUAAACGCUGGCGGCGCACAUAAGACAUGCAAGUCGAACGGACGACUUUGAUUUGUUUUACUUAUCAAAGAAGUUAGUGGCGGACUGGUGAGUAACACGUAAGCAAUCUGCCUACAAGAGGGGAACAACAGUGAGAAAUCACUGCUAAUACCGCAUAAGCUAACAGCUUCGCAUGAAGCAGUUAGAAAAGGAGCAAUCCGCUUGUAGAUGAGCUUGCGCCUGAUUAGCUAGUUGGUGUGGUAACGGCAUACCAAGGCGACGAUCAGUAGCUGUGCUGAGAGGCAGAACAGCCACAUUGGGACUGAGAUACGGCCCAG
rnacentral:rRNA from 1 species